UACGUAGGGGGCAAGCGUUGUCCGGAUUCAUUGGGCGUAAAGAGCGUGUAGGCGGCCAGGUAGGUCGGUUGUGAAAACUGGAGGCUCAACCUUCAGACGUCGACCGAAACCAUCUGGCUAGAGUCCGGGAGAGGAGAGUGGAAUUCCUGGUGUAGCGGUGAAAUGCGCAGAUAUCUGGAGGAAUACCGGUGGCGAAGGCGGCAUCCUGGACCAUUACUGACGCUGAGGCGCGAAAGCUAGGGGAGCAAACGGG
rnacentral:rRNA from 1 species